UACGUAGGGGGCAAGCGUUGUCCGGAUUUAUUGGGCGUAAAGAGCGUGUAGGCGGCCAGGCAGGUCCGCUGUGAAAACUCGAGGCUCAACCUCGAGAGGUCGGUGGAAACCGUUUGGCUAGAGUCCGGAAGAGGAGAGUGGAAUUCCUGGUGUAGCGGUGAAAUGCGCAGAUAUCAGGAAGAACACCAAUGGCGAAGGCAGCUCUCUGGGACGGUACUGACGCUGAGACGCGAAAGCGUGGGGAGCGAACAGG
rnacentral:rRNA from 1 species